rnacentral:rRNA from 1 species
UACGAAGGGGGCUAGCGUUGCUCGGAAUUACUGGGCGUAAAGGGAGCGUAGGCGGGUUAUCAAGUUGGGGGUGAAAGCCCGGGGCUCAACCUCGGAAUUGCCUUCAAAACUGAUAACCUGGAGUAUGGAAGAGGUAAGUGGAACUCCGAGUGUAGAGGUGAAAUUCGUAGAUAUUCGGAAGAACACCAGUGGCGAAGGCGACACACUGGCCCGUUACUGACGCUGAGGCGCGAAAGCGUGGGGAGCAAACAGG